rnacentral:rRNA from 1 species
GACGAACGCUGGCGGCGUGCCUAAUACAUGCAAGUCGAGCGAAUCGAUGGGAGCUUGCUCCCUGAGAUUAGCGGCGGACGGGUGAGUAACACGUGGGUAACCUGCCUGUAAGAUUGGGAUAACUCCGGGAAACCGGAGCUAAUACCGGAUAACAUUUUGAACCGCAUGGUUCAAAAUUGAAAGAUGGCGUCUAGCUAUCACUUACAGAUGGACCCGCGGCGCAUUAGCUAGUUGGUGAGGUAACGGCUCACCAAGGCAACGAUGCGUAGCCGACCUGAGAGGGUGAUCGGCCACACUGGGACUGAGACACGGCCCAGACUCCUACGGGAGGCAGCAGUAGGGAAUCUUCCGCAAUGGACGAAAGUCUGACGGAGCAACGCCGCGUGAACGAUGAAGGCCUUCGGGUCGUAAAGUUCUGUUGUUAGGGAAGAACAAGUACCAGAGUAACUGCUGGUACCUUGACGGUACCUAACCAGAAAGCCACGGCU